rnacentral:lncRNA from 1 species
AAUCAUUGCUUCUUUGAGGGCCUUGCUUGUGUAGUAAAUUGACUUUUGCACGUCAGCUUCUUCUCUAAUGAGGACCGAACUUAUCGUCUGUGAGGUGACCGACAAAUAUAUGUACAACUUCUCACCUUCUUCAGGCUUGGAAAGAAGAGAUGUCGAUCUCAAGUAUUUUUUGAAUUCAUCAAAUGUAGAUCAACAUCCUUCUGACCACUCAAAAUUCUUUACUUGUCCUAUCGUCUUGA